GGACUACCAGGGUAUCUAAUCCGUUUCGCUCCCCACGCUUUCGUGCCUCAAUGUCAGGAUAAGAAUAGUUAACUGCCUUCGCCUUAUUGGUGUUCUUCCAUAUAUCUACGCAUUUUACCGCUCCACAUAGAGUUCCAUUAACCUCUUCUUUCCUCUAGUCUAACAGUAUUACUUACUAUUAUGAGGUUAGGCCCCACUUUCACAAAUAACUUAUUAAACCAUCUACGCACCCUUUACGCCCAAUAAAUCCGGAUAACGUUCGCGACCUAUGUCUUACCGCGGCUGCUGGCAC
rnacentral:rRNA from 1 species